rnacentral:rRNA from 1 species
GACGAACGCUGGCGGCGUGCUUAACACAUGCAAGUCGAACGGAAAGGCCCUGCUUGCAGGGUACUCGAGUGGCGAACGGGUGAGUAACACGUGGGUGAUCUGCCCUGCACUUCGGGAUAAGCUUGGGAAACUGGGUCUAAUACCGGAUAGGAGCCAUCUUUAGUGUGGUGGUUGGAAAGUUUUUUCGGUGUAGGAUGAGCUCGCGGCCUAUCAGCUUGUUGGUGGGGUAAUGGCCUACCAAGGCAGCGACGGGUAGCCGGCCUGAGAGGGUGUACGGCCACAUUGGGACUGAGAUACGGCCCAGACUCCUACGGGAGGCAGAAGUGGGGAAUAUUGCACAAUGGGCGCAAGCCUGAUGCAGCGACGCCGCGUGGGGGAUGAAGGCCUUCGGGUUGUAAACUCCUUUCGCUAGGGACGAAGCUUUUUUGUGACGGUACCUAGAUAAGAAGCACCGGCUAACUACGUG